rnacentral:rRNA from 1 species
AAUGCUGGCGGCGUGCCUAAUACAUGCAAGUCGAGCGGUAACAGGGGGACUCACCGUGCUCUUGACACUCUGCCUAUGAGGAAGAGGUCGGAUCGAGAGUACAGUGAGUCCCUGCUGACGAGCGGCGGACGGCUGAGUAACGCGUGGGAACAUACCCCAAACUGAGGGAUAACUAGUCGAAAGAUUAGCUAAUACCGCAUGUGAUCUUCGGAUUAAAGUCUUCGGACGGUUUGGGAAUGGCCUGCGUACGAUUAGAUAGUUGGCGGGGUAAAGGCCCACCAAGUCGACGAUCGUUAGAUGGUUUGAGAGGAUGAUCAUCCAGACUGGGACUGAGACACGGCCCAGACUCCUACGGGAGGCAGCAGUAGGGAAUAUUUCACAAUGGGCGAAAGCCUGAUGGGAAGCAACGCCGCGUGCAGGAUGAAGGCCUUCGGGUUGUAAACUGCUUUUAUAUCCGAGAAAUAUGAUGGUAAGAUAUGAAUAAGGACCGGCUAACUACGUGCCAGCCGCCGC